rnacentral:lncRNA from 1 species
CCAUCUGUUUUCACACUGGCAGGAGCCUUUUCUGUGGAGCUUUCACAGGGUCCUGGGCACCUUUGGGAGUCUGGGCUGGAGUUGCAGCCUGGGCCUGAGCUGGAGCUGUGGCCUCUGUCUUGGUUUGAACCUUGGGCCUCUGACCCUUGGCCAUGUAGCUUUGAAUCCUCUUCCCAAGCUUGGGGUGAGCGACGAAAGCCAGAUGGCUGAGUUUGCAGCUGGGGCCCUUUGGCAUCUUGGGCUUGACGGCCUGAGGCUUCACCAGGGCCUUGAUGGUCUCUGCUCGUGCAGAUGCUCGUGCUUGAUGGCCUGCCUUUGCAUUGUUGGCCUGCAUCUUCUUCAGGCCUUUCUUGUUGUGCUUCUUGGCAAAGUACAUGUUCCUCAGGAACUUGGGGUCAAUCAACCCCCUUAAGAGAUUUGUUAUCUUUGUGAAUGGGGUUUCUUGAUGCCAGGAUUGGGAGUUUGAGGCAUGAAUUACAC